rnacentral:tRNA from 1 species
GGUAGGAUGGCCGAACCCAGGCGGCGGGUUGUAGCCCCGAGCAUAGAGGUUUAAGUCCUCUUUCUAUCA